UACGAAGGGGGCUAGCGUUGUUCGGAAUUACUGGGCGUAAAGGGCGCGUAGGCGGUGUGUCAAGUCAGGCGUGAAAGCCCCGGGCUCAACCUGGGAACAGCGCUUGAGACUGGCACGCUCGAGUUCGGGAGAGGAUGGUGGAAUUCCCAGUGUAGAGGUGAAAUUCGUAGAUAUUGGGAAGAACACCGAUGGCGAAGGCAGCCUUCUGGACCGACACUGACGCUGAGGCGCGAAAGCGUGGGGAGCAAACAGG
rnacentral:rRNA from 1 species